AUUGAACGCUGGCGGCAGGCCUAACACAUGCAAGUCGAACGGUAACAGGAAGCAGCUUGCUGCUUCGCUGACGAGUGGCGGACGGGUGAGUAAUGUCUGGGAAGCUGCCUGAUGGAGGGGGAUAACUACUGGAAACGGUAGCUAAUACCGCAUAAUGUCGCAAGACCAAAGAGGGGGACCUUCGGGCCUCUUGCCAUCGGAUGUGCCCAGAUGGGAUUAGCUUGUUGGGGGGGUAACGGCUCACCAAGGCGACGAGCCCUAGCUGGUGUGAGAGGAUGGCCGGCCACACUGGAACUGAGACACGGUCCUGACUCCUACGGGAGGCAGCAGUGGGGAAUAUUGCACAAUGGGCGCAAGCCUGAUGCAGCCAGGCCGCGUGUAUGACGAAGGCCUUCGGGUUGUAAAGUACUUUCAGCGGUGAGGAAGGGAGUAAAGUUAAUACCUUUGCUCAUUGACGUUACCCGCAGAAGAAGCACCGGCUAACUCCGUG
rnacentral:rRNA from 1 species